UGGCAAUGUUAGGGUGCCCUCUGAUUUUUGC
rnacentral:piRNA from 1 species